rnacentral:rRNA from 1 species
UAUGGCUCAGGAUGAACGCUAGCGGCAGGCUUAACACAUGCAAGUCGAGGGGCAUCGGGAGUAGCAAUACUUGCCGGCGACCGGCGCAAGGGUGCGUAACGCGUGAGCAACAUGCCCGUAUCAGGGGGAUAAUCCAUGGAAACGUGGUCUAAUACCCCAUAGUAAUUAUGUAAGGCAUCUUAUAUAAUUUAAAGCUUUGGUGGAUACGGAUUGGCUCGCGUGACAUUAGCUGGAUGGUAAGGUAACGGCUUACCAUGGCUACGAUGUCUAGGGGUUCUGAGAGGAAGGUCCCCCACACUGGAACUGAGACACGGUCCAGACUCCUACGGGAGGCAGCAGUGAGGAAUAUUGGACAAUGGAUGGAAAUCUGAUCCAGCCAUGCCGCGUGCCAGGAAGACGGCCCUAUGGGUUGUAAACUGCUUUUGUAUGGGAGCAAUAAGGGCUACGUGUAGUCCGAUGAGAGUACCAUACGAAUAAGCACCGGCUAACUCCGUGCCAGCAGCGGC